GCGCGGUGUCAGUCUUCUAUGAAAAGUCAUAGUGAUAAGACGUGUAUCGUAAUCGUGUCACCGGCUUUGGUGAUUCAACUACGCAACUCGUCCAAAAAGUACAUGGCUGGUCCAAAACAAUAAAUGGAAUCAUCCAACUUGACGAGCGGAAAAAGUUCCAGUAUAAACGCUAUCAUAAUUUGUCAAAGAGAAGUUUAUUCUAUUUCUAUAUUAUAUAUAUUUAUUUUACUUCUAUUGGAUCGUUUUUAUAAUGAACAUUUAUUACAAAUACUAAUACUUUUCUUUAAAUAGUGUAUUCAAUCUAAAAAUAGUUAUUCUAUUUCCUUGUAUAUAACAUUUUUUAUUCCUGAAAAAUUGAUAAUAAUUAGUCCAUAGUUUUAAUAAAUACUAAUAUUUUAUGACAUAAGUACAUUCUAUGAAAGGAAAGAAACUAUGGAAAAAUAUUUUCAUUAGUAGGUUCUUUUUCUAAAGAUUCCCUUCGCCCCAACUAAUACAGAUUUAUUUUCAGAAUUUUUUUUUGAUCGCGCGCAAUGCGGUCUAUAGAUUCAGUGUUUGCUGCGUAAGAGUUUUUUGAUAUUUUAGAGCAUGAAAGCUCUGAUUAAAUUUAUAUAUUAUUAUAAAUUUAUACAUAUUAUAUUCGCGAAGUUAAAGUCAGUGUUUGUUCGCCGAUUGAAAAUUAUACGGACGGGUUAAUAAUUUCUUUCUUUUUUCUUUUUUUUUUUUUUAUAUAUAUAUAUGUGUGUAUAAAUAUUCGUUUUCGGUAUAAAGUAGAGUCAGUGCUUUUCAAGAGAAUAAGGCGAUCAUCCAUCACGCGAAGAGUUUCCUAUGCUUGAUGACUCCUUUCUCGAUGACGUGCCCUGGGUCCUGGAUAGCAUUGCAGAUUCUUCGCAUCGUUUGGUGAGUCGCAUGCAUUUAUGUUCCUCCAAUCACUCAAUCAUGUCGUAGGAUGAAAGGUCCGAAUCGACACGGGUGAUUGGUUGUAUACGUAGAUUUUUGCACGAGCACAGUGACCGCGGGUAUUUAUUAUACCCGUGAGUAAUAACAUUUCUUUUUUUUUGAUGUUUUAUUUACUAGAUCAGGAUAGGGCUUCUUGCACAUCGCGUUUUUGAAAAGACAAUAUUGAUAGUUAAUUUUAUAUUAAUAAUGUUUUAAUAUAAUAUGAUAUAACAUAAAUAAUUAGUUUGGUUAUAUAUAUAAUUAUUUGUGAAAUCAAAUAUAAUAAAUAGGUAUAUACAUUUAUGAAUAUAUUUAUGAAUAAAAUGUGUGAAUAUUUUAAUAAAUGAGAAAUAUUGAAGUGACUUGAAUAAAGUCUCUUUUAGUGAAGAAAUCAGAUAUCCUCUGAUUUCGUUACAAUAAAAAUAUCAAAAUAAAUGUUACACAAUAGUAUAAUAAUAAUAUAAUAUUGAAUAUAACGAAUAACGUUUAAUUCUAUCUUUAGUUUCAUAAUAUUAUUUGAUUUUCUGUAAAGCGAAGCAUAAUUUGAAAUGUGAAAAUAUUUUAUUUUUUCCGUAAGAAAAAUGUAUGAAAAAUUAUGUGCAAGAAGAUAUUUCGCGACAGGUAGAUUUCUAGAUCAAAGUAACAAGUUUUUCACAUUGAUUUUGCUUUUUCGAAAAUGUACUUUGAUGAAGAGAUCG